ACUAGAGAUGAUUUCAGGGAGGGU
rnacentral:siRNA from 1 species